UUUAUGAGUAAUAAAGACACUUUUAGAACACAGUUGAUUUUGUGUCAGUGAAUUAAUGUCUUCAAUGCUUCAGAUGGGAUGAUCUUGUUGUGGGUGCACCUGAGUUCUCCAAAAAAAGCAUGGAUGAAGAUGUAGGAGGGGCUGUGUGCAUUUACAUCAACCAAGACAAAGGACAAUGCUGGAACCAAAUCAAACCAGUGUGUCUGUACGGGAAAAGGGACUCCAUGUUUGGACUAGCAGUGGCACAUAUUGGGGAUAUCAAUCAAGAUGGAUACCAAGGUUGAAUAAAAGGUUUUAGAUGCUGGACUCCCUGGUAUCAAAUCGUUUGGCUAUUCUUUGGCUGGAAACAUGGAUAUAGAUGAUAAUGGCUAUCCAGACCUUGCUGUGGGUUCCCUUUCAGAUACUGUGCAAGUUUAUAGGACUAACCCAGUGGUAAACAUAGAAAAUACCUUAACAUUAACACCGAAUACCAUUGAUUUCAAGGCUCAGGACUGCAAGAGAUAUUCAUGCCUUAUUACAGCUCAGUCGUGCUUCACUCACACUGUCCAGACA